GGUUCAAUGCCUACUGUAUCGGAAUGCAUCGGAUGGAUGCCCGGGCAUUGGGAGGGAAGGACGCUUCCAAAGGCGAAAGGCCAUGGGGAGAUACCGUCCGUGAUCCAUGGAUCUCCGAUCGGGAAACCGUGUCCCACUCCCUACCUCUAUAGUGGGGGGUGGGGGCGAAGCGACUUAGCGAACUGAAACAUCUAAGUAGCUAGAGGAAAGGAAAUCAACCGAGACCCCGUUAGUAGCGGCGAGCGAAAGCGGAUUGGGCAAAUAUCCAUCAGCGGAGCCCUGCCCCCCGCUGCUGGCAAAUCAAUAGGGCGCCAUACCUUUUGCCGGUAGGGAAUAGAUGGCCCUGCAUGCAUGCAGGGUGGUGCGUGCCAGCAGGGGGCCCCUACAAUUCUAUGGUAGCUAUAGAAUCCGGGAGCUGGGCCCUUUUCAAUAUAGGGGGCCUGCCUGCCUGCCUGCAGAGGUAGGGUUCAUCGGUGGGGCUCUUCUUCUCUGUGCAAUUCAUUCAACUAAUCUUCAUGCCCUACCCCUAGCCUAUAAUUUUAUGGUAUGGCCCAUACCCCAUAAAAUUUUAGGCAUACCUCAAAAUUAUAGGGCUAGGGCUAGGGCUAGGGCAAUCAAUCAUAUUUUAGGGGAGGGGCCCCUCUUCAUAUUAUUGAGGGGCCUAUCAUUUUAUGGGCCCCCUAAACAGAUUAUUGUAAGGGCCUAUCAUUUUUUAGGCUCGUCUGAAUGCCCAGGCCUAUAGAUAGUAAGGGCCUUACCUUCAUUAUCAUGAAGUGGGCCUAUCAUUUUUUAGGCUCGUCUUCAUUGAAUGCCCCCCUACUCCCUACCCCUACUAUUAUAAGGUAAGGGGAAGGGGUAGGCAUGCAAGAUGAGGCCCUAACUAUCUAUAGGCCUGGUUGCCCCGUAGGCAUGAAUUGAACCCAGGGUGGAUGAUGGAAGAACCGGGGGGAACUGUGAAAAGGUUGGAAGAUCUGGCCAAAGAAGGUGAUAGCCCUGUAGAUUGGUUCCCCACCCCCUGGCAGGGGUGGCCCCUACUAUUCUCUAGGCAUGAGGAGAGGGGAUAGUUUUCAUGGAUAGGGCGCCCCGGGCCCCCUGCAGGGGGCCCUGCAUACCGAUGAACCCUACUAUCUAGCCGGGUUCGAUUCUUCCCAGUUGAGUAAAACGCGGAGUGUUUGAAUCAGGGGGACCACCCUCUAAGCCCAAGUAUUCCUCAAUGACCGAUAGCGUACAAGUACCGUGAGGGAAAGGUGAAAAGAACCCUAGGAAAGGGAGUGCAACAGACCUGGAAUCCGAUGCGCGUAAACAAUCAGUCGGUCGCGGCGUAGCAUCACUUGAACGGCUAAUGAUAGUCAGUCCCAACGCCCCCGCUAUAGAGGAUAGGGCACCCCCGCUAUAGAGGAUAGGGCCCAUAGGGGUAGGGGCCCGUGCCUAUCAUUUUAUGGGCAGGGUCCCCCUGCACCUGCAGGGUCCCCGGUGGGCGGGUGGGCGUUGGGGGGUCAGUGUAGCGCUGAACGGCGUACCUUUUGCAUAAUGGGUCAGCGAGUAAAUGGGAACAGCGGCUUAAGCCAUUAGGUGUAGGCGCGACAAAUAAAAGAAAAAAAAGGGCCCAAUUCUAUGGGGGGCCCUACCCUACCCUAAAAUUCUAUGGCCCGGGGGCCCCGGCCUAUAAUUUUAUGGAUCUGCCCAUAAUUAUCUAAAAAAGGGGCAAUAAUAAAGGGCUAGGCGGGCGCAAUAAAAUAAUAGGCCCUAUAAUUUUAUGGUAGGGGGUAGGGCUAUCUCCAUAGAAUAGUAGGGGCCACCCGCCCUCAUGCUGCCCGCCCGCCAGUGCAGAUGGGUGCCCACUGGGCAUCGAUUAUUGGGCCCUUAGGGGGCCUUUACCUCCCUCUAUAUAGUAGGGGUAGGGGCCCCCCCACUAUUCUAAAGGGGAUUAUUGUAGGGGCUAUAGAACCAACUCUAGUUGGGGUUUGUAGAGGGGUGGGGGGCGGCCGGUAGAAUCUCCCAGUUGUUCCUAUUUGACCCGAAACCGAUCGAUCUAGCCAUGAGCAGGUUGAAGAGAGCUCCAACAGGCCUUGGAGGACCGAACCCACGUAUGUGGCAAAAUACGGGGAUGACUUGUGGCUAGGGGUGAAAGGCCAACCAAGAUCGGAUAUAGCUGGUUUUCCGCGAAAUCCAUUUCAGUAGAGCGUGCAUGCUUAUGGCCCGAGGUAGAGCACUCAAUGGGCUAGGGUGGCCCAAAGCUUGACCAACCCCAAGGAAACUCCGAGUACAGGCCAUUUCAGUAAGCAGACAGACUUUGGGUGCUAAGAUCCAGAGUCGAGAGGGAAACAGCCCAGAUCGUACGCUAAGGUCCCUAAGCAGUCACUUAGUGGAAAAGGAAGUAAUCGAGCGAUGACAACCAGGAGGUGGGCUUGGAAGCAGCCAUCCUUCGAAGAAAGCGUAAUAGCUCACUGGUCUAGCUCCAUAGCACCGAAAAUGUAUCGGGGCUCAAGUGAUUCACCGA
rnacentral:rRNA from 1 species